rnacentral:rRNA from 1 species
AACCCUAGACAGAGGAUCACUUGGCUCAUGGGUCGAUGAAGACCGCAGCAAACUGCGCGUCGCCAUGUGAACUGCAGGACACAUGAUCAUUGACAUGUUGAACGCAUAUUGCGCCUUAUACAUUUGGUUCUAUAAUAUUAUUUUUUGGAACUGUAUAAGGUACAUAUGGUUGAGUGUCG